rnacentral:rRNA from 1 species
AUGGCGCUGCCUUGCUGCUCCCUCGCGCCGCCAUCUUCCUCCUCUAGUCCUCCCUCAGCGCCGCCGCGCCUCCUGCCACUCCACCUCCGACCCCCACCGGAGCGGCCAACUCCAGCGGCCUCUCCUUCGCCCCGCUGCUCCUCUGCCUCAACUCCGGCCGGAUCGACUCGGUUCCCCGCCGCCUCGCCAAGUCCAUGGAGCCGCCUCCCCGUGUUCCUUCUCCUCGCCUUGUCGUUCGAGGACCGGCGCCGCCGCCGGCGACCACGAGGCGGGAGACCGCCAUGGAUCACCGCCCGAAGCUCCCGUUCCGCCGCCUGCUCUGCCUGGAUCCGGCGAGUCCUUGCGCCUGCUCUGCUCCGCCCCCUCCUGUGUUCCACCUCCGUCGCGCCAAGGCCGCUGCGACCAGGAGCGCUGCUGCCCGUCUUCGUUGCCACCACAGGAGCCCCAAGCGCCAUGGCCUGGGCUCGGCCUCGAGAUCCUCAGCGCCGCCGUGGCUGCUGCUUGCUCCGUCGACCCAGCCGCAAGUUCCAGCCGCCACCAUCUUCUUCCAGGAACGCCAAGUCUGUUUUCAAAUGCCUCUGCACCCCCUGCUUCUCCAAGGGUUUUGUUCGUCGUCGCUGUCACCCGAGGCCCUUGUGUUGCUUUGUUUGGACCGUCAAGAUUGACAAGAUCGACAAGGACCGUACCAGGACCGCCAAGCAUCUUCUCUGUGAGUUUUGCCAAGUACCACAACAACGCGUCAAGUACCUCUACCGCCGUCUACGGAAACACCAAGUACCCCUACGCGCGAAGACGCCAAGACCGUUUCGGGAUUCACCAAGUACCGCUACCGUUGACUCGAAUAUCUACGAAAACGUGUACCACUACCGCCGUCAAGUUCGACUACCUUCGUGUACCACUACUUCCCUCGGCGACCCAUGA